rnacentral:misc_RNA from 1 species
GAUGAAGAACGUAGCGAAAUGCGAUACUUGGUGUGAAUUGCAGAAUCCCGUGAACCAUCGAGUCUUUGAACGCAAGUUGCGCCCGAAGCCAUCAGGUUGAGGGCACGUCUGCCUGGGCGUCACAUAUCGUUGCCCAAUGCCUAUUGCAGUGCAAUAGGAAUUUCUAGGGCGAAUGAUGGCUUCCCGUGAGCGUUGUUGCCUCGCGGUUGGUUGAAAAUCGAGUCCUUGGUAGGGUGUGCCAUGGUAGAUGGUGGUCGAGUUAGAACGAUACCGAUCAUGUGCAUGCUCCCCAAAAUAUGGCCUCUAUGACCCACACGCGUCUUUUGACGCUCAUGACGAGACCUCAGGUCAGGCGGGGCUACCCGCUGAAUUUAAGCAUAUCAAUAGGCGGAGGA